rnacentral:rRNA from 1 species
AGUGAACGCUGGCGGUAGGCCUAACACAUGCGAGUCGAACGGCAGCACAGUAAGAGCUUGCUCUUACGGGUGGCGAGUGGCGGACGGGUGAGGAAUACAUCGGAAUCUACUUUUUCGUGGGGGAUAACGUAGGGAAACUUACGCUAAUACCGCAUACGACCUACGGGUGAAAGCAGGGGAUCUUCGGACCUUGCGCGAUUGAAUGAGCCGAUGUCGGAUUAGCUAGUUGGCGGGGUAAAGGCCCACCAAGGCGACGAUCCGUAGCUGGUCUGAGAGGAUGAGCAGCCACACUGGAAAGGAGACACGGUCCAGACUCCUACGGGAGGCAGCAGGGGGGAAUAUUGGACAAUGGGCGCAAGCCUGAUCCAGCCAUACCGCGGGGGUGAAGAAGGCCUUCGGGUUGUAAAGCCCUUUUGUUGGGAAAGAAAAGCAGCAGGUUAAUACCCCGCUGUUCUGACGGUACCCAAAGAAUAAGCACCGGCUAACUUCGUG